rnacentral:rRNA from 1 species
GAACGCUAGCUACAGGCUUAACACAUGCAAGUCGAGGGGCAUCAGGAAGAAAGCUUGCUUUCUUUGCUGGCGACCGGCGCACGGGUGAGUAACACGUAUCCAACCUGCCCUUUACUCGGGGAUAGCCUUUCGAAAGAAAGAUUAAUACCCGAUAGUAUAAUGAUUCCGCAUGGUUUCAUUAUUAAAGGAUUCCGGUAAAGGAUGGGGAUGCGUUCCAUUAGGUUGUUGGUGAGGUAACGGCUCACCAAGCCUUCGAUGGAUAGGGGUUCUGAGAGGAAGGUCCCCCACAUUGGAACUGAGACACGGUCCAAACUCCUACGGGAGGCAGCAGUGAGGAAUAUUGGUCAAUGGGCGCUAGCCUGAACCAGCCAAGUAGCGUGAAGGAUGAAGGCUCUAUGGGUCGUAAACUUCUUUUAUAUAAGAAUAAAGUGCAGUAUGUAUACUGUUUUGUAUGUAUUAUAUGAAUAAGGAUCGGCUAACUCCGUGCCAGCAGCCGCGGUAAUACGGAGGAUCCGAGCGUUAUCCGGAUUUAUUGGGUUUAAAGGGAGCGUAGGUGGACUGGUAAGUCAGUUGUGAAAGUUUGCGGCUCAACCGUAAAAUUGCAGUUGAUACUGUCAGUCUUGAGUACAGUAGAGGUGGGCGGAAUUCGUGGUGUAGCGGUGAAAUGCUUAGAUAUCACGAAGAACUCCGAUUGCGAAGGCAGCUCACUGGACUGCAACUGACACUGAUGCUCGAAAGUGUGGGUAUCAAACAGGAUUAGAUACCCUGGUAGUCCACACAGUAAACGAUGAAUACUCGCUGUUUGCGAUAUACAGUAAGCGGCCAAGCGAAAGCAUUAAGUAUUCCACCUGGGGAGUACGCCGGCAACGGUGAAACUCAAAGGAAUUGACGGGGGCCCGCACAAGCGGAGGAACAUGUGGUUUAAUUCGAUGAUACGCGAGGAACCUUACCCGGGCUUAAAUUGCAGUGGAAUGAUGUGGAAACAUGUCAGUGAGCAAUCACCGCUGUGAAGGUGCUGCAUGGUUGUCGUCAGCUCGUGCCGUGAGGUGUCGGCUUAAGUGCCAUAACGAGCGCAACCCUUAUCUUUAGUUACUAACAGGUUAUGCUGAGGACUCUAGAGAGACUGCCGUCGUAAGAUGUGAGGAAGGUGGGGAUGACGUCAAAUCAGCACGGCCCUUACGUCCGGGGCUACACACGUGUUACAAUGGGGGGUACAGAAGGCAGCUAGCGGGUGACCGUAUGCUAAUCCCAAAAGCCUCUCUCAGUUCGGAUCGAAGUCUGCAACCCGACUUCGUGAAGCUGGAUUCGCUAGUAAUCGCGCAUCAGCCACGGCGCGGUGAAUACGUUCCCGGGCCUUGUACACACCGCCCGUCAAGCCAUGGGAGCCGGGGGUACCUGAAGUACGUAACCGCAAGGAUCGUCCUAGGGUAAAACUGGUGACUGGGGCUA